rnacentral:lncRNA from 1 species
UGCUGAGCACAACGCAGCUCCGCCCUCGCAAAGGCACAGCGCGGGCGCAGGCGCCCAGAGGCGCACAGGAGACCUCAGGCCCAGACUCCACUCCCCAGCUGUGAAAGGACUGCUGGCCAGACCCCCAAGCUAGCCCGCCAGGCCUCCAUAGAGCUGCCCAGCAUGGCUGCAUCCAGUACCAAGAGUUGGUGGGAGACGGGUGAGGUAUAGGCUCAGUCUGCGGCCAAGACUCCGUCCUGCAAGGAUAUUGUGGCUGGAGACAUGAGCAAGAAAAGCCUCUGGGAGCAGAAGGGAGGCUCCAAGACCUCAUCAACAAUUAAGAGCCAGCUCAAUCACUUCUCCAGAAAGACUUACUGAGUCCUCUGCACUGAACAGGUGUCCUGUGCUCCAGGAGAGCCCUGGGCUGGCUCCUAGUGUAGCCAUUAUGACCCUGGAAUGCACCAUCUUUCACAUCACUGCCUGGCCUUCUAGAAUCUCAGCUUCUUAAAUCAAGAAAUUGUGUCUUGUUCAUGUCUGAAUUCCCCAAGUGAACACAGAAGGAGUGAUUGGCUGCUGGUCCUGCCCUGUCCGAGGAGGAGGACGGAACCCACCCACCAAGCUGUGGAGAGGUGGACCCCACAAAUCCCCUCGCAAGCCACGUCUGAGAGCGAGCAGAGGGAAGAAACUCAAGCGUUUGUAGUCCUCUUUCUUAACAACCAGGCUUAAAGCGCCAUCUUGUGUCUUGAAGGCAGAAGGAGAUCAGGAUGUGUGUGCUAGAAGCAGGCAGAGGAUCUUCACCAAUGUCUCAAAAACUAGAGAAGGAAACAUGGCGAUCCUCAAGGCCCGCGGCGGCCCCAGCCCUUCCCGCACCCUGCGAUAGUCUGGUGUUGGGAGGGUGGCCCACGUGUCCAAGCAACCACAUCAGGGAGGUUCUGGGAGAGGAGAAGGCAAAGCUCAUGCCCUCAUGAGGCAGGCAGUCCCAUCCAGGACUGGACUGGAUGAGCACCAAUAAAUAAGAAAACACAGCUGGCAGCUGACUGUGAAGGGUCUGGACAGGGUGCCGAAGUGAAGCGUAAUGAGCUGGAUAGUGAGGACCUCACUACAGAGGGACAUCUAUCUACACACAGCCUGAAGGGUGAGAAAGAUGGAUCCUUGCCCUGAGCCAGAAGUGCACACCCCAGAGAGAGCAGCUCCUGCGGAGGUCCUGUGGGGCAGGCAUGGUAGGAAUAUUAAAGAGAAGAAGCCAGGUGUGGCUGCAGCCAUGCAGGAGGAAGGGCGAUGGGGUUGGGGAGGCAGAGGAUGGGACUGGCAUGAGAAGAUGGAGAUGCAGAGCCCAGAUCGUGAUAGCCCCAAUAGUCCACGGGUAGGAGUUUGUAUUUUCUACUAAAAGCAAUGGGAGGGCGGGGCGCGGUAGCUCAAGCCUAUAAUUCCAGCACUUUGGGAGGCC